GUGGUCGUAGCUCAGUUGGUAGAGCCCCAGAUUGUGAUUCUGGUUGUCGUGGGUUCGAGCCCCAUCGACCACCCCA
rnacentral:tRNA from 3 species